rnacentral:rRNA from 1 species
GAUGAACGCUGGCGGCGUGCCUAACACAUGCAAGUCGAACGGAGAUUACGGACGGAAGUUUUCGGAUGGAAGACUGUAAUUCUUAGUGGCGGACGGGUGAGUAACGCGUGGGCAACCUGCCCUAUACAGGGGGAUAGCAGCUGGAAACGGCUGGUAAGACCGCAUAAGUCGGCGAGACCGCAUGGUUUUGCCGGGAAAUGAGCAAUCAGGUAUAGGAUGGGCCCGCGUCCGAUUAGCCAGUUGGCAGGGUAAAAGCCUACCAAAGCAACGAUCGGUAGCCGGACUGAGAGGUCGGACGGCCACAUUGGGGCUGAGACACGGCCCAAACUCCUACGGGAGGCAGCAGUGGGGGAUAUUGCACAAUGGAGGAAACUCUGAUGCAGCGACGCCGCGUGAGUGAAGAAGUAUUUCGGUAUGUAAAGCUCUAUCAGCAGGGAAGAUGAUGACGGUACCUGACUAAGAAGCCCCGGCUAACUACGUG